rnacentral:rRNA from 1 species
GGCGGACGGGUGAGUAACGCGUGAGAAUCUGGCCUCAGGUUCGGGACAACCACGGGAAACGGUGGCUAAUACCGAAUGUGCCUAAGGGUGAAAGAUUAAUUGCCUGAGGAUGAGCUCGCGUCUGAUUAGCUAGUUGGUGGGGUAAGAGCCCACAAAGGCGACGAUCAGUAACUGGUCUGAGAGGAUGACCAGUCACACUGGGACUGAGACACGGCCCAGACUCCUACGGGAGGCAGCAGUGGGGAAUUUUCCGCAAUGGGCGAAAGCCUGACGGAGCAAUACCGCGUGGGGGAGGAAGGCUCUUGGGUUGUAAACCCCUUUUCUCAGGGAAGAAGAAUGACGGUACCUGAGGAAUAAGCAUCGGCUAACUCCGUGCCAGCAGCCGCGGUAAUACGGAGGAUGCAAGCGUUAUCCGGAAUGAUUGGGCGUAAAGCGUCCGCAGGUGGCACUUCAAGUCUGCUGUUAAAUACUGGGGCUUAACCCCGGAAAGGCGGUGGAAACUGAAGAGCUAGAGUGAGGUAGGGGUAGAGGGAAUUCCCAGUGUAGCGGUGAAAUGCGUAGAGAUUGGGAAGAACACCGGUGGCGAAAGCGCUCUGCUAGGCCGCAACUGACACUCAUGGACGAAAGCUAGGGGAGCGAAUGGGAUUAG